rnacentral:rRNA from 1 species
GUAGGUGGCAAGCGUUGUCCGGAAUUAUUGGGCGUAAAGCGCGCGCAGGCGGUCCUUUAAGUCUGAUGUGAAAGCCCACGGCCCAACCGUGGAGGGUCAUUGGAAACUGGGGGACUUGAGUACAGAAGAGGAAAGCGGAAUUCCAAGUGUAGCGGUGAAAUGCGUAGAGAUUUGGAGGAACACCAGUGGCGAGGGCGGCUUUCUGGUCUGUAACUGACGCUGAGGCGCGAAAGCGUGGGGAGCAAACAGGGAUUAGAUACCCUGGUAGUCCACGCCGUAAACGAUGAGUGCUAAGUGUUAGGGGGUUUCCCGCCCCCUUAGUGCUGCAGCUAACGCAUUAAGCACUCCGCCUGGGGAGUACGGCCCGCAAGGCUG